UGAUCCUGGCUCAGGAUGAACGCUAGCGGCAGGCUUAACACAUGCAAGUCGAGGGGUAUAGUUCUUCGGAAUUAGAGACCGGCGCACGGGUGCGUAACGCGUAUGCAAUCUACCUUUUACAGAGGGAUAGCCCAGAGAAAUUUGGAUUAAUACCUCAUAGUAUAAUGACUUGGCAUCAAGACAUUAUUAAAGUCACAACGGUAAAAGAUGAGCAUGCGUCCCAUUAGCUAGUUGGUAAGGUAACGGCUUACCAAGGCUACGAUGGGUAGGGGUCCUGAGAGGGAGAUCCCCCACACUGGUACUGAGACACGGACCAGACUCCUACGGGAGGCAGCAGUGAGGAAUAUUGGACAAUGGGCGCAAGCCUGAUCCAGCCAUGCCGCGUGCAGGAUGACGGUCCUAUGGAUUGUAAACUGCUUUUAUACGAGAAGAAACACUACUUCGUGAAGUAGCUUG
rnacentral:rRNA from 1 species